CUAAUAUUACUGGGCCCCGAUUCUCCUAAGUAAAUAAUGUCAAAAUCGAAUAGAAAUCGAAUCGCAAUAUGAUCACAAUAGCAGUUUUAACCACAUCGGGCAUUCUGCUACUAAUAAAAGACCAAUCGUAUUCGAUUGACAUAUUUUGAUUGGUGUGCGAUUGGUCUGCUAUUUUGGUGAUUUUGGUCUAUACGGUAGUUUGCUACAGCAAACUGAUUCACGAUUUACGAUUUACUUUAUAACUUUAUUAAUUAUUUGAUUUAUUAAACAUAUGCAGACAAAAUGAUUCAUUAUUGAAUGACAGAAAAGGAUGAAAACGUUUAUUUCAAAUAAAAUGGAGAGUCAAUUUGUAAUUUAUUACCGCUGCAUAAAGUUCAAAUUCGCGUGCGCGUUGGAGGAUCUAAUAUCGCGUUCUGAAACUCAACAAACGCGACAAAAUUGCAUAGUCUCAAAAUACAUAGUACAUAAAUAGUGGUCGGCUUCGAGAAACUCAAUUUUAACUAACUUCAGCUGUUAAUCUGUCCGAUUAUUUUUUUAAUAAGACUAUAUAGAAAUCGAAAGAUAAAUCUUAAGUUAAAUUUCUGAACGCAAUCAUAAUAUUUGACAUUAGAUUUGACAACCAACUAAUACCUAUGUCAAUCCAUCCUGUCGCAUUUCAGAGCACGUGUUACGAGUUACGAUAUCUAUGAGUGCAUCCUUCUAUCUUUGUGGCUACGUGCGCGAGAACUUUCUUUACUUUGGUGAUCCUUUGAUAGUGACAUUCCAUAGGCUAUAUAAAAUUCUAUAUUGCCCACGCAGACAAAGUCGCGGGCAACAACUAGUCUAUAAUAUAAAAAUGAAUCGCAAAAUGUGUUGGUAAGCGCAUAACUCAACAACGCCUGGACCAAUUUGGCUAAUUCUUUUUUUGUUGUGUUUGUUAUUGUCAGAAAAAAAUAGGGUAAAGUAGAGAAGUCAGUUGACGGGAGCGAAGCCGCGGGCAAAAGCUAGUUACAAAUAUAAUUUGUAAUUACCAUAUCACAAAUUUUCGCGAAUUUAAACGUUAUAUACGAGUUUUGAUGCGUCAUUAUGCUUUGGAUAUAGUCACAAAAAAAUAACAAAAAAAAGAUUAAGAAAGUUUGAUCAUUUAUCUUGGGAGUGUUCUAAAUAAAUAUUGGUCUAUUUAAGAGUAAAACAAUAUAUUAAAAUAAUUUUUGUUUGCAAUGCAAAGAAUCAAUAUAAAUCUUGUGACGCGCGGCGGCGGCGCGGUGUUCAACUUUAGUCAGCGCCAAGCGCUUACCAAGGAAGGACGUAUCGCUCGCUGUUGCGCCGCGUAAACUCGCCGGAGUUCGGAAAAUAUAGCGCAACUAACACGUUUUGAUACAACAUAAUUCAUAAUCAUGGGAAAAAGAGACAAAAGAAGAAUAUUUGGUGCUGUCAGAAUUAAAAAAAAAGUUUUGGCCGAUAAUUUAAAACGCGCAAGGGAAGCUCAGAGGCAAAAAAGAGCUCAAAUGCAGCAGGAGCAAGUAAAGGCAAAUGAAAAUAUUGCUUCUGAUUUAACAAAGGUAAGUGUUGAUCACCUAUUGACAUAAUUCGCUUAGGGAACUACUAAUAUUACUGGGCCCCGAUUCUCCUAAGUUAAUAAUGUCAAAAUCGAAUAGAAAUCGAAUCGCAAUAUGAUCAUAAUAGCAGUUUUAACCACAUCGGGCAUUCUGCUACUAAUAAAAGACCAAUCGUAUUCGAUUGACAUAUUUUGAUUGGUGUGCGAUUGGUCUGCUAUUUUGGUGAUUUUGGUCUAUACGGUAGUUUGCUACAGCAAACUGAUUCACGAUUUACGAUUUACUUUAUAACUUUAUUAUUUGAUUUAUUAAACAUUUGCAGACAAAAUGAUUCAUUAUUGAAUGACAGAAAAGGAUGAAAACGUUUAUUUCAAAUAAAAUGGAGAGUCAAUUUGUAAUUUAUUACCGCUGCAUAAAGUUCAAAUUCGCGUGCGCGUUGGAGGCUCUAAUAUCGCGUUCUGAAACUCAACAAACGCGACAAAAUUGCAUAGUCUCAAAAUACAUAGUACAUAAAUAGUGGUCGGCUUCGAGAAACUCAAUUUUAACUAACUUCAGUUGUUAAUCUGUCCGAUUAUUUUUUUAAUAAGACUAUAUAGAAAUCGAAAGAUAAAUCUUAAGUUUUGUCAGAAAUUAAAUUAUAAAUCUUAAGUUAAAUUUCUGAACGCAAUCAUAAUAUUUGACAUUAGA